AGCCAUUCAAAAAAUAAAAGAUGUGCAGUGCUUCUAGCUGGAGGACAGGAACUGGUAGGAUGGACUUCUUGGCGAUACAGGGACGAUUAAAUAUUCUGAUUGAAAUAUAAUAAGCACAUAUGGCUGGUAUGAAGUUUCGUUUAAUUACGGAAAUUCUGAUUAAAAUACCUUGGCCAGAAGUUUGAAAUUAAUCCUGGAGGAUUAAUAGGCUACUGUGAUGUGGCGAAGAAGCAUGCUAUUGUGCUGGGAUUGUUGCGAACAGAGUUUGUGAUUUCUGGAGUAUCGAUGACUCCCCCCACUCGAACAUUUGUUAUUUUCAUUACAGGCAUGACUAAAGCACAGAAAUAUGUGAAUUAUACAUACCAGGAGGGGACACUUUGGCUGGCCAUGAUUUUUCUAAUCAAUUCCCAAUGAUCAAAUUCAACAUAUUGGG